GACACGAUGGCCGAGUGGUCUAAGGCGGUAGAUUUAAGCAUUGCUUAGAUCUCUACUAGGGCAACCUGCGUGGGGUAAAUUGAAAGCCUUUCUCGUUUGCGUUGUACGUAUGUUAACAGUUAUCAGUUCGAACCCCACUCGUGUCA